rnacentral:rRNA from 1 species
UACAGAGGUCUCAAGCGUUGUUCGGAUUCAUUGGGCGUAAAGGGUGCGUAGGUGGCGCCGUAAGUCAGGUGUGAAAUUUCGGAGCUUAACUCCGAAACUGCAUUUGAUACUGCGGUGCUUGAGGACUGGAGAGGAGACUGGAAUUUACGGUGUAGCAGUGAAAUGCGUAGAGAUCGUAAGGAAGACCAGUGGCGAAGGCGGGUCUCUGGACAGUUCCUGACACUGAGGCACGGAAGGCCCAGGGGGAGCAAAACGGG